CAAUGAUCUCAUCGUCUCGAUGUAGAUCUGGCUGAUAUCGAUAAACUGAAUCGCUAAUGCCAACAACUCGGCACGCUCUGCGCUGGCUGACGUUAUGUUUGUAUUUCACAUAAUCAACCAAUUCACGGCGAACCGAUGGCUUU
rnacentral:sRNA from 1 species